AAGUCGUAACAAGGUUUCCGUAGGUGAACCUGCGGAAGGAUCAUUAUCGAGUUAGGGUCUUCAUGGCCUGACCUCCAACCCUGUGUUUAUUAUACCACGUUGCUUCGGCGGGUCCGUCUUUUAUCGGACCGCCGGGGGGUCGCGAGACUUCCUGGCCCGCGCCCGCCGAUGGCCCCCAAUAAAACUCCGUAUAACCAAUGUUCGUCGUUGGCAGUUGCAUUGAAUUUAAACUUUAAAAAUCAAAAAUCA
rnacentral:misc_RNA from 1 species